UACGUAGGGGGCAAGCGUUGUCCGGAAUCAUUGGGCGUAAAGAGCGCGUAGGCGGUCCGGUAAGUCGGUUGUGAAAGUCGGGGGCUCAACCCUCGGAGGCCGACCGAUACUGUCGGGCUAGAGUCCGGAAGAGGCGAGUGGAAUUCCUGGUGUAGCGGUGAAAUGCGCAGAUAUCAGGAGGAACACCAAUGGCGAAGGCAGCUCGCUGGGACGGUACUGACGCUGAGGGACGAAAGCUAGGGGAGCGAAUGGG
rnacentral:rRNA from 1 species